UGCAGUCGACGGCAGCACGGGAGCAAUCCUGGUGGCGAGUGGCGAACGGGUGAGUAAUAUAUCGGAACGUGCCCAGUCGUGGGGGAUAACGCAGCGAAAGCUGUGCUAAUACCGCAUACGAUCUACGGAUGAAAGCGGGGGAUCGCAAGACCUCGCGCGGUUGGAGCGGCCGAUAUCAGAUUAGCUAGUUGGUGGGGUAAAAGCCCACCAAGGCGACGAUCUGUAGCUGGUCUGAGAGGACGACCAGCCACACUGGAACUGAGACACGGUCCAGACUCCUACGGGAGGCAGCAGUGGGGAAUUUUGGACAAUGGGCGAAAGCCUGAUCCAGCAAUGCCGCGUGCAGGAUGAAGGCCUUCGGGUUGUAAACUGCUUUUGUACGGAGCGAAACGGCUCUCUUUAAUACAGGGGGCUAAUGACGGUACCGUAAGAAUAAGCACCGGCUAACUACGUGCCAGCAGCCGCGGUAAUACGUAGGGUGCGAGCGUUAAUCGGAAUUACUGGGCGUAAAGCGUGCGCAGGCGGUUAUAUAAGACAGAUGUGAAAUCCCCGGGCUCAACCUGGGACCUGCAUUUGUGACUGUAUAGCUAGAGUACGGUAGAGGGGGAUGGAAUUCCGCGUGUAGCAGUGAAAUGCGUAGAUAUGCGGAGGAACACCGAUGGCGAA
rnacentral:rRNA from 1 species